rnacentral:lncRNA from 1 species
CCAGAACUUCGGAAAUUUGAAUAACCCCUCUUGGCAUUAACAGGUGGCCUGGGAAUAGGAAUUCUCUCUGUGAGUCCUGUGAUGGAGGCUGAGAAAAAGACACUCCAUGGCACCCCUGUGAGGAUGUUGUCCCACACUAGUGGCUGCCUACUCACCACAAGAAUGAGAACAGGAGGACCAACCCCCCUCAGGCUAUAAGAUUCAAGAGACAAGUCAAGCACCGUGAUGCAGACUUGAAACUCCAGCAUUUAGGAGGCUAAAGUAGGAGAGCCCCAUGUUAGAGGCCCAUCGUGAAUGAGAGGGUACACAAAACCUGAGGAGUAGAAGUGGCG